GUGUGACCCACCAAACAGGGCUUGCUGGAGACUUGAGUGCACAGGCGGCCCUUCCUGAAAAAUCAGUUGCUGCCUGGCCUCUGAUCUCCUGUCAGGAAGUUCCAUCUCCGUCUCCAUGAAGAGAGCGUGACCAAUAGAACACCCUCCGUGAUUGCAGCUCAACUCAACCAACUGCAAGGAUGUUAGAAUUGACCCAAGCAAAACCUGUAAAGUGCACACCUACAAAAGACAAGGGAUGAACAGCAGUGAUUGAUAUCUAAAUAGGCAUCUGUGGUGGAUUGACAGCUGUUGGUCAACUUGUAACACCCAGCUGAACUGAUCAGUGUGGUGCUGGGUAUAGAAAGCCCAUCUGAGAAUUGUUGUCAACAAAAUGAAAAGGAGAACUAGAGAAGAAGAAGAGGUGCUGCUAGAGGACUGUUUGUUCUCCUGGAGGAGCCUGUCAUGUUGACUCUCCUGAUAUGAACUCACCUAUUCUCACCGUUGGAGGAGCGUAGGGCCUUGUUAUUGCUGAGAAUGGCUGUGGUUCACUUUGGGGGAGCUCUGGUCCUUAGUUUGAGCAUUGUUUCCUGGCUCUAGAGAGGAAGAUGGUACACUGUUCAGUCUCCUGGAGAAGCUUGUCAUGCUGGCUUUCCUGAUAUAAACUCAGCUGUUCUCAUCAUUGGAGGAGCUCAGGAUCUCACUGUUGCUGAGGAUAGCUACGGUACUUUCUGGGAGAGCUCUGGUUCUUACUUUGAGAGUCAUGUCCUGGCUCCAGUACAGAUCCCUCAGGCUGCUGGCACAGAUCAUUCAUCCUGCCAGCGCAGACUUUCUAGCUUCUACCACUGACCUUGGAGCCUUCCCAGCACAGAUCUGUGAAACAGACUUGCAUGAGACGUUGUGAGCUCUUGGCCUCCAGUCGAACUUGUGUGGGGCAUUGUCACAGGCUCUAGUUCUUCAGUUGGACUCAUGAAGAACAUUACCUUGGGACCAAGGCCCUUAGCUGGAUUCUUUGGGUCUUUAGUGUGUGGACAGACUUCCUGCACUCCUUUGUACUUGACUCUCUGGGUUCCUUCCUGGAACAAUGCUGAGUUAUUUACACAAUUCCAGAAAAUAACAAAAUGGACUACUAUAUUUUCCCCAAACUUCAACUUUGGUAAAUUAUUUCCCAAAUCUAGUCUAUAA
rnacentral:lncRNA from 1 species